CCUACGGGUGGCAGCAGUGAGGAAUAUUGGUCAAUGGACGAGAGUCUGAACCAGCCAAGUAGCGUGAAGGAUGACUGCCCUAUGGGUUGUAAACUUCUUUUAUAUGGGAAUAAAAUGUUCCACGUGUGGGAUUUUGUAUGUACCAUAUGAAUAAGGAUCGGCUAACUCCGUGCCAGCAGCCGCGGUAAUACGGAGGAACCUAGCGUUAUCCGGAUUUAUUGGGUUUAAAGGGAGCGUAGGUGGAUUGUUAAGUCAGUUGUGAAAGUUUGCGGCUCAACCGUAAAAUUGCAGUUGAAACUGGCAGUCUUGAGUACAGUAGAGGUGGGCGGAAUUCGUGGUGUAGCGGUGAAAUGCUUAGAUAUCACGAAGAACUCCGAUUGCGAAGGCAGUUCACUGGACUGCAACUGACACUGAGGCUCGAAAGUGUGGGUAUCAAACAGGAUUAGAUACCCUGGUAGUC
rnacentral:rRNA from 1 species